rnacentral:rRNA from 1 species
UCCGUAGGCGGUGUGGCAAGUCGGUAGUGAAAUCUCUCGGCUUAACUGAGAGGCUGCUGCCGAAACUGCCAUGCUCGAGUGCGAGAGAGGCGAGUGGAAUUGCGGGUGUAGCGGUGAAAUGCGUAGAUAUCCGCAGGAACAUCCGAGGCGAAAGCGGCUCGCUGGAUCGCAACUGACGCUGAGGGACGAAAGCUAGGGGAGCAAACAGGAUUAGAUACCCUGGUAGUCCUAGCCCUAAACCAUCAGGACUUGGGGUUUGCCCUGUACGGGGCAAGUCCCGGAGCUAACGCGUUAAGUCCUGCGCCUGGGGAGUACGGUCGCAGGGCUGAA